rnacentral:piRNA from 1 species
UUGGGCCUAACUCGGGCAGGCAGCU